AGUGAACGCUGGCGGCAGGCCUAAUACAUGCAAGUCGAACGGCAGCACAGUGGAGCUUGCUCCAUGGGUGGCGAGUGGCGGACGGGUGAGGAAUACAUGGGAAUCUGCCCAGUCGUGGGGGAUAACGUAGGGAAACUUACGCUAAUACCGCAUGCGCCCUUCGGGGGAAAGCCGGGGACCUUCGGGCCUGGCGCGAUCGGAUGAGCCCAUGUUCGAUUAGCUAGUUGGCGGGGUAAAGGCCCACCAAGGCGACGAUCGAUAGCUGGUCUGAGAGGAUGAUCAGCCACACUGGGACUGAGACACGGCCCAGACUCCUGCGGGAGGUAGCAGUAGGGAAUAUAGGACAAUGGGCGCAAGCCUGAUCCAGCCAUGCCGCGUGAGUGAAGAAGGCCCUCGGGUUGUAAAGCUCUUUUGUCCGGGAAGAAAAGCAUCGGGCUAAUACCUCGGUGUUCUGACGGUACCGGAAGAAUAAGCACCGGCUAACUUCGUG
rnacentral:rRNA from 1 species